AAAUUGAAGAGUUUGAUCAUGGCUCAGAUUGAACGCUGGCGGCAGGCCUAACACAUGCAAGUCGAACGGUAACAGGAAGCAGCUUGCUGCUUUGCUGACGAGUGGCGGACGGGUGAGUAAUGUCUGGGAAACUGCCUGAUGGAGGGGGAUAACUACUGGAAACGGUGGCUAAUACCGCAUAAUGUCGCAAGACCAAAGAGGGGGACCUUCGGGCCUCUUGCCAUCAGAUGUGCCCAGAUGGGAUUAGCUUGUUG
rnacentral:rRNA from 1 species